rnacentral:rRNA from 1 species
UGCCAGCCGCCGCGGUAAUACGGAGGGGGCAAGCGUUGUUCGGAAUUACUGGGCGUAAAGGGCGCGUAGGCGGAAGGACAAGUUAGGGGUGAAAGGCCUGGGCUCAACCUGGGAACUGCCUCUAAAACUGUUUUUCUAGAGUCCGGAAGAGGAUGGCGGAAUUCCCAGUGUAGAGGUGAAAUUCGUAGAUAUUGGGAAGAACACCAGUGGCGAAGGCGGCUUUCUGGACCAAUACUGACGCUGAGAUGCGAAAGCGUGCGGAGCGAACAGGAUUAGAUA